rnacentral:rRNA from 2 species
CGGCGACGGGUGAGUAAUGCCUAGGAAUCUGCCUAGUAGUGGGGGACAACGUUUCGAAAGGAACGCUAAUACCGCAUACGUCCUACGGGAGAAAGUGGGGGAUCUUCGGACCUCACGCUAUUAGAUGAGCCUAGGUCGGAUUAGCUAGUUGGUAGGGUAAAGGCCUACCAAGGCGACGAUCCGUAACUGGUCUGAGAGGAUGAUCAGUCACACUGGAACUGAGACACGGUCCAGACUCCUACGGGAGGCAGCAGUGGGGAAUAUUGGACAAUGGGCGAAAGCCUGAUCCAGCCAUGCCGCGUGUGUGAAGAAGGCCCUCGGGUCGUAAAGCACUUUAAGUUGGGAGGAAGGGCUUACAGCGAAUACCUGUGAGUUUUGACGUUACCGACAGAAUAAGCACCGGCUAACUUCGUGCCAGCAGCCGCGGUAAUACGAAGGGUGCAAGCGUUAAUCGGAAUUACUGGGCGUAAAGCGCGCGUAGGUGGCUUGAUAAGUUGGAUGUGAAAUCCCCGGGCUCAACCUGGGAACUGCAUCCAAAACUGUCUGGCUAGAGUGUGGUAGAGGGUAGUGGAAUUUCCAGUGUAGCGGUGAAAUGCGUAGAUAUUGGAAGGAACACCAGUGGCGAAGGCGACUACCUGGACUAACACUGACACUGAGGUGCGAAAGCGU